rnacentral:rRNA from 1 species
UACGAAGGGGGCUAGCGUUGCUCGGAAUCACUGGGCGUAAAGCGCACGUAGGCGGCUUUCUAAGUCAGGGGUGAAAUCCUGGAGCUCAACUCCAGAACUGCCUUUGAUACUGAAAGUCUUGAGUAUGGGAGAGGUGAGUGGAACUGCGAGUGUAGAGGUGAAAUUCGUAGAUAUUCGCAAGAACACCAGUGGCGAAGGCGGCUCACUGGCCCGAUACUGACGCUGAGGUGCGAAAGCGUGGGGAGCAAUCCGG